rnacentral:rRNA from 1 species
CCUACGGGAGGCAGCAGUGAGGAAUAUUGGUCAAUGGCCGGAAGGCUGAACCAGCCAUGCCGCGUGAAGGUCAGUGCCCUAUGGGCGUUAAACUUCUUUUGUGCGGGAGCAAUAAUGGUCACGUGUGGCCAGACGAGAGUACCGUACGAAUAAGCAUCGGCUAACUCCGUGCCAGCAGCAGCGGUAAUACGGGGGAUGCAAGCGUUAGCCGGAUUUCUUGGGUUUAAAGGGUGCGUAGGCUGGGAGGUAAGUCAGCGGGGAAAUGCCCGCGCGCAACGGGGUGAAGUGCCAUUGAUACUGCCUGGCUGGAAUGCGGAUGCCGUGGGAGGAAUGUGUGGUGUAGCAGUGAAAUGCAUAGAUAUCACACAGAACACCGAUUGCGAAGGCAUCUCACGAAUCCGCGAUUGACGCUGAGGCACGAAAGCGUGGGUAUCAAACAGGAUUAGAUACCCUUGUAGUC